AUGAGGACCUGGAUGCAAAUGCUGCUCCAGCCUUCGCCGAUUGGCCCAAAGGAUUGCUCCAUUGGAGCCCCGCGUCUUCCCUCCGCCCAACCCCGGCGAGCCUUCGCCCGCGAAGCCGGGACGCGUUUAUGGGUCCCUCCUCCCGCCGAGCUCCCGGCCCGACUCCUCCGGGCUGGGCUCCGAAGGGUCCCUCCCGGGAGCCGAGGACGCCGUUCUCUCGCUGGGACGCCGGCGGGGAUUGGCAGGCUGCAGGCGGGCAGCGGCCGAGCCGGGCCCUGGAAAACCGAGCGGCCGCCUGUCGGGCCGUCGGGCUCCGCCGGCCCGACUCAGCCUGCCAGCCUUUCUGUCUCGGUUACUCCGUCCGGCUCCCUGGACUUCCUGCCUCAGUCUCCCUCUCUGGCGGUGCGGCGGCUUUUGGCCUGUCGGCCUCUUUCUUUGCUGGGUCCGUCUGUCCAUCCACCAGCCGGCGGUUUCACGUCCUGGUCCCUGGUUGGGAAGCGUCCCCCCCACCCCCACCCCCCGGAAAAGGUUCCUCUGCUCUCGGGGUCACGGACAUACAAGCUCAGAGAGCCGGAUUGGGGAUCCCCACACCUCCCCCCCCCACCCCCGACAACUUUUCCCUCACCUUCACACACACACUCACACACACUCACACACACACACACAGACACUCAGACACACACUCACACAGACACACACUCACAGACACACACACAUUCUCACACACACGGACACACACAUUCACACUCACACAGACACACACACAGACACAUACACACACUCAGACACACACACGGACACACACACACUCACAGACACUCACAGACACACACACACAUUUACACACACACACACACACACACACACACACACACACACACACACACUCACACACGCGGAAUCCCCCUAGCCCGGGAAGGGGAAGGCGAAGGGCGGAUGGAAGAGAGAGGAAAGACAAGCCAGGGUGGAAGGGAGCGGGCUGUCAGGGGAGGCGAGGCUGGGCAGGGACUGCAGCCCCGGCAGCGGCCGCGGCUCUGCCUGCGCUCCCCCGGGAGGCUGGGCCGGGCUCGGGCGCGGCCGGAGGCUGCGGAGCGGGAGGAGAGGGGAUGA
rnacentral:lncRNA from 1 species